rnacentral:rRNA from 1 species
GACGAACGCUGGCGGCGUGCUUAACACAUGCAAGUCGAACGGAAAGGCCCUGCUUUUGUGGGGUGCUCGAGUGGCGAACGGGUGAGUAACACGUGAGUAACCUGCCCUUGACUUUGGGAUAACUUCAGGAAACUGGGGCUAAUACCGGAUAGGAGCUCCUGCUGCAUGGUGGGGGUUGGAAAGUUUCGGCGGUUGGGGAUGGACUCGCGGCUUAUCAGCUUGUUGGUGGGGUAGUGGCUUACCAAGGCUUUGACGGGUAGCCGGCCUGAGAGGGUGACCGGCCGCAUUGGGACUGAGAUACGGCCCAGACUCCUACGGGAGGCAGCAGUGGGGAAUAUUGCACAAUGGGCGGAAGCCUGAUGCAGCAACGCCGCGUGCGGGAUGACGGCCUUCGGGUUGUAAACCGCUUUCGCCUGUGACGAAGCGUGAGUGACGGUAAUGGGUAAAGAAGCACCGGCUAACUACGUGCCAGCAGCCGCGGUGAUACGUAGGGUGCGAGCGUUGUCCGGAUUUAUUGGGCGUAAAGGGCUCGUAGGUGGUUGAUCGCGUCGGAAGUGUAAUCUUGGGGCUUAACCCUGAGCGUGCUUUCGAUACGGGUUGACUUGAGGAAGGUAGGGGAGAAUGGAAUUCCUGGUGGAGCGGUGGAAUGCGCAGAUAUCAGGAGGAACACCAGUGGCGAAGGCGGUUCUCUGGGCCUUUCCUGACGCUGAGGAGCGAAAGCGUGGGGAGCGAACAGGCUUAGAUACCCUGGUAGUCCACGCUGUAAACGGUGGGUACUAGGUGUGGGGUCCAUUCCACGGGUUCCGUGCCGUAGCUAACGCUUUAAGUACCCCGCCUGGGGAGUACGGCCGCAAGGCUAAAACUCAAAGGAAUUGACGGGGCCCCGCACAAGCGGCGGAGCAUGCGGAUUAAUUCGAUGCAACGCGUAGAACCUUACCUGGGUUUGACAUGGAUCGGGAGUGCUCAGAGAUGGGUGUGCCUCUUUUGGGGUCGGUUCACAGGUGGUGCAUGGCUGUCGUCAGCUCGUGUCGUGAGAUGUUGGGUUAAGUCCCGCAACGAGUGCAACCCUUGUUCACUGUUGCCAGCACGUUAUGGUGGGGACUCAGUGGAGACCGCCGGGGUCAACUCGGAGGAAGGUGGGGAUGACGUCAAGUCAUCAUGCCCCUUAUGUCCAGGGCUUCACGCAUGCUACAAUGGCUGGUACAGAGAGUGGCGAGCCUGUGAGGGUGAGCGAAUCUCGGAAAGCCGGUCUCAGUUCGGAUUGGGGUCUGCAACUCGACCUCAUGAAGUCGGAGUCGCUAGUAAUCGCAGAUCAGCAACGCUGCGGUGAAUACGUUCCCGGG